CCUCGCCGGCCGCAACAGCCCCACAGCCCUGAGGGCGCCUCCGCCGGCUGCUGGCCGGCGCGCCGCUCAGCGACUCAAACGCCGCGGCGGUUCCGGGUCCUCCUCCCCGAAACUCGGCGUUGCCGACGCUGACGCCGCCUGCCCUGUUCUGAGCAUUACCCUGGGUCGACCGACCGACCGACCGAGUCCUAUAUACCCGGGAGCGGAGGGGAGGGGCGGGGCGGAUGGUUUCUGUGUGGUAUUGAUAAUCUGGACCAACCCUACUGGUGCUACUUUAUUUACCUCUGUACUUGUGAGGAUCCUUUCCUUACUCUGAUGAGGACAAAAGGCAGACAGGUCAAAAUGGAGCCAACACCCCCCCAAGGUGGGAUUCUUAAGACCAUGAAAGUUUCAAAGAAGUAAAUACAGUCCCACUGACACUGUAAGACUUGGGUGGAGCCAUGGGGCAGAAUCAUGAAAGGACAAAGUGAUGCAGAGAAACCAACAAUGGAGUGAGUCCAGCUGAACCGGAAACCAUCUGUUACAUAGACCUCCUGGAGAAGAGAAGACCUGGAAGUCCCAAGUUCAGGUCAUCCUUCAAGUCCUCCCAGACCAACAGGCCUGCAGACCAUCAUAUCCUACUCUGGAUUAGCUUCAAAGCAGACACCAAGAGGGCACAUAUCUCCAGCAUGUGGUUGAAGGCAACAUUCUCCUGAGAAUUUCCUCAAAUGUGUGAACCCUUUGGGAAGUGGCAUGUUGAAACACAAAGCCACUGAAUUCACAGGGAGCUGAUGUACAUGUGAGUCCUGGCGACUGGCUACCUUUGGCAUUGUCAUAUCCGUGGGAAAAGACCUCAGAUUGUCCCAGCCUCAGUUUCUUCAUCCAUUGUGAGGAUGAUGUGUAAAAAUAUUAAGUAAACUUUGAACUUCUACCAAG